rnacentral:rRNA from 1 species
AUUGAACGCUGGCGGAAUGCUUUACACAUGCAAGUCGAACGGCAGCACGGGUGCUUGCACCUGGUGGCGAGUGGCGAACGGGUGAGUAAUAUAUCGGAACGUACCCAGUAAUGGGGGAUAACUAACCGAAAGGUUAGCUAAUACCGCAUACGCCCUGAGGGGGAAAGCGGGGGAUCGAAAGACCUCGCGUUAUUGGAGCGGCCGAUAUCUGAUUAGCUAGUUGGUGGGGUAAAGGCCCACCAAGGCGACGAUCAGUAGCUGGUCUGAGAGGAUGAUCAGCCACACUGGAACUGAGACACGGUCCAGACUCCUACGGGAGGCAGCAGUGGGGAAUUUUGGACAAUGGGCGAAAGCCUGAUCCAGCCAUUCCGCGUGAGUGAAGAAGGCCUUCGGGUUGUAAAGCUCUUUCGGCAGGGAAGAAACGGUCUAGGUUAAUACCUUGGGCUAAUGACGGUACCUGAAGAAGAAGCACCGGCUAACUACGUGCCAGCCGCCGCCGUAA